GAGAAACUCACCUUUUUGAUUAGUCUUUGGCUUGAUAUCUUGGUAGGAUCUUGUGAAGUGGUGGUUGCUACAAGGUUGCAUUGAGGCCAAGUGCUGCAAGAGAAAGCUCGAGUUCCAGGAGAGGUCAGUUCCUCCUUGAGCCACCGGUGGUGGGCAGUGUGCACCAUGCCCUUGUUAUCUCCCCUUUGUCUCUAGCCUUGUGAUUAUUGAAUUCCGAAAAGUGAUUGGCUAGAUGGACGGGUGUGAUGGAAGUGUGAAAGAUGAUCAAUUGCCGUGGGAUUGUAGUUACGUGGUGACGAUCACGUGGAAGCGCAAACCGGUUUUUAUCUACUUCUUUUAUUCAAAACGAUAACUCUUGUUUUUAAACUUAGAUAUGGGGGGGGGCAUGGGCAAUG